rnacentral:tRNA from 1 species
GGCCCAUGGCUUGGCCGGAAAAGCGUCUCAAUGGCACUGAGAGGAUCGUCAGUUCGAGUCCGCCUGGGUCCA